rnacentral:lncRNA from 12 species
CAGGACCCACCACGGAUCUAUUUGCCUGAGGGUCUAAGAGAACCCCUGGGAAAGCAGACAGAUGUGCUUUACCAGAAACAAAGUCCCAGUGUCCAAAGGGACUGAGGUUUAUGAGCACAGCUUCAUCUGCUGAGUGUCUUAAGGAAACAUUCAAAUAAAGGGGCUAGCUUAUUGGGAUCAUCCAGGGGGUUGGUAGAAGGAAAGAAGUGGAGGCAGAUACCCAAACUCAAGCGAAUGACAGGAGAUGGUCAGGAAGUUAGGUGCAAAAUAAUUGACAUGUGUUGGAUUGACAAAUAUACCAGUGCUCCUGAGAUGAACCAAGAGAGAAAACAGGAAACAAUCUUUGAACAGCAGAAGGAAACACCAAAGAAUGAAGUCUCUGUUACAGAAGAAACAAUGAGGUUUAAUAUGCCAUCACACUUUCAAUCGAGUGGAGUGCCUGGCUCAUAGAAAUGUGGGGUAAGUAACAUUUCCCUGGCCUUCUGUCUGAUUGAGUUACCUUAUGUGCAGUUUUUAUUGUUACUACUAUUUAACCCCUCU